ensembl:snRNA U2 U2 spliceosomal RNA
AUCACUUCUCGGCCUUUUGGCUAAGAUCAAGUGUAGUAUCUAAUAUUCCGUGGCAUUUGUUUAGAUUUUAGUUUCCUCUACUUUCCCAGACACGAAUGUUGACUGCUUCAUGACUGGAACGACUUUUA